rnacentral:rRNA from 1 species
UUGAACUGAAGAGUUUGAUCCUGGCUCAGAUUGAACGCUGGCGGCAUGCCUUACACAUGCAAGUCGAACGGCAGCACGGGCUUCGGCCUGGUGGCGAGUGGCGAACGGGUGAGUAAUACAUCGGAACAUGUCCUGUAGUGGGGGAUAGCCCGGCGAAAGCCGGAUUAAUACCGCAUACGAUC